AGCGCCGGGCCAAUGUCCUAUCUCAGGGUUUCCCACGUCGCUCGCUCCUUGACGGCUGACCGACACUGGGUCUGAGGUGUAAGCGCUUUCCAGGCCCUUCCCUGGGGCUUGGAGGGGAAUGGCGCAAAGGACUUUUCUUACAAGCAGAGCCACUGCAGUUACCAAAGAGUAUGUCGCUUAUUGUCUAAGAGGUUGGACUCCUGAAAGCCUGGACAGUGUCAUCAUCUUCACCUGAAGAGUGGAAAAAUUCAAGCAAAGAGUUUCUCAGGAAAUGACCAAGUAAAACAUCUGGAGUAAGUCAGCAGGAUUCACAGUGACUCCCCCCAACCAGCUGGUGGUGUUUCUCUCUGAAAGCAGCGCUUGGUACCAGUGUGAACUCUCUUCCUUCAGAAGUCUCAUCAGGUGGACGUAAUACGAGGGUCUGGUCCCCCAUACCUUGAGGACUCCGCUGCCAUCUGACAAUUACAGACAAUCCAAUUGUCCUCAUCCUUGAGGACUCUGCUGCCAUCUGACAAUUAGAGACAGUCCAAAACAUGCCACACUUUGAUCCUAAACACAUUCCUGGCUUUGGUCACUUUUGAAAAGUUCCUGAGUUAUGAGAAAUCAAUAAUAAGAGUGUUCAAAACCUGAACACUCUUUUUAGAAAUACCUGCUGGAACUACAUAUAUGAUUUAUGGGGUACUGUCUUGUAGUAUCUGGGAAAGUAGACCCAUCUAACCUGGAAUGAUCAUAGGCAACAAUGACCAAAAAUGGGGAUCUUUUGAUAUACCUAAAGUAAUUUAUUUGUGCACACCAUUGGAAAGAGCUGGUUUUAGAACCAGACAUGUAAAUAAGAGACUGACUUCCACUGGCACCUAAAAACUUCUAAAAGAAAUCCUGAAAGAAAAAGUCACCUUCAUUCAAGAGACCAUUUGGGCCUUCAUGAGUAACCAGCUGAGAAGCUGAGAUCAGAUAGAAAUGAAAUUCAUAGAAUAGGACCCUGACAAGUACUCUUGAAUACAGGUUUCUGAUAACUUUGGAGAUCAUAUCAUUGGACUAAGUAACAACUUUCAGGAUAUAAUUGGAGACACUUGUUAUUUUACUAAGGAUUUGACUGGAAUGACAUAUUUUCAGAUAUGACCAGACUGCUUUGAAGAAUGGAGGUUGACUCUAUAGAGGCAAUUAGAAAGCCUCUUGGAAAGACUGGCCUGGUCCCUUGUCUACGUAGUUCCCUUUCAAGAUUUCUGUCCUGUGUUAAGUAAAGAAUGUCACUUUCUGACAGGCCUGGGAACCUCAAAAUAUUUCCGCUGUGUAUCUCUCAUUGUUUUAUUUCUUCUGAGAAAACUAAAUUCAUGGUACACUGAAGAGGUGAUUCCACAAGUGAUGGCAGCUAUAAAUCAAUGACUGGUAGGACUACCUGGGCAUGAGCCUUUCUGGCAAUGAGGGAUACCUUGACACUCAGAUUUUGAUCAUCAGUGCUUUCAAAAGGAAAGAUUUUUGAUCAAAAGGAAGAAAUGAGAAAAAGAACUUUUAUCUGAAGAAUGCAAGUCCUUUCCAAUUAUCAGAUCCAGAGAGGUAUUAAAAUGAGACGGCAAUCCUGUCCUACACACACCCCCUUUUGAGGCAUGUACUCAUCUUUUUAUACUGCUUACUAUUGCCACAAGUAGCUGAAAAUUAGCCUACUGGUGCUGCACCAGACAUUAUAACCCAUAUCCUAUAGCUUAAUAAUGGAUAGCCAAUCAACAGCUUAUGUUAUGUUAAUGUAAAUUAUUGGUAAAUAACUCAGGAACUGCCUCUUCUUUCCUUUUAAAAACCCACUUGUGGGCCGGGCGUGGUGGCUCACGCCUGUAAUCCCAGCAUUUUGGGAGGCCAAGGUGGGCGGAUCACAAGGUGAGGAGAUCAAGACCAUCCUGGAUAACAC
ensembl:lncRNA MKLN1-AS MKLN1 antisense RNA